CAAAGGCAUUGACGGGACCCCGCACAAGCGGUGGAUCAUGUUGUUUAAUUCGAUGAUACGCGAAGAACCUUACCAGGUCUUGACAUCCCCCGCGAUGCUUUAGAGAUAAAGCGGAGGUAUUCGGGGAGACAGGUGGUGCAUGGUUGUCGUCAGCUCGUGUCGUGAGAUGUUGGGUUAAGUCCCGCAACGAGCGCAACCCCUAUUGCUAGUUACCAUCAUUAAGUUGGGGACUCUAGCGAGACUGCCAGUGAUAAACUGGAGGAAGGUGGGGAUGACGUCAAAUCAUCAUGCCCCUUAUGACCUGGGCUACAAACGUGAUACAAUGGCUGGAACAAAGGGAUGCGAAGCAGUGAUGUGGAGCGAAACCCAUAAAAACAGUCUCAGUUCGGAUUGAAGUCUGCAACUCGACUUCAUGAAGUCGGAAUCGCUAGUAAUCGCGGAUCAGAACGCCGCGGUGAAUACGUUCUCGGGGUUU
rnacentral:rRNA from 1 species